UGGCUUCUGGCUGCCAGCAUUGGCAGCUAGCUGAUUGGCUGGUGGCUAACAGUCCCGGGACGAACAGUGUGGCAUCAAAUGGCCCGCGCUGCAGCACGUGAGACAAAGGGGCCAUGGCCCAUUGGCCAGGACGAACAGCUAGGGGCAUGUCAGCUGAGGAGAAAAGUUAGCAGUGAAUGCCUGGAGGCGGAACCAUGGCGGAGAAGCAGGCACGGCCAAGGGUAGGACCCGAAAAGUCCCAUUCCGCAAGGCAGAGCAAGACAAAGCAAAAGAAGGCAGCAAGUCACCGGUAACAGCAAGGCUUCUUGAAUCAUGGCCAGUGUUGCUGGCAAGUACCACACUUGUUCCCGACAAAAGCCCCUUCCCCUGGCGUCUCCUUAAAUCCUAUUCUCCAGCCUCCAGCUUGCUUACCUAGUUCACUCCCAAACAAAAUCCCGAGCUGCUGGUCGCAGACUCGCCUGCCUUGUUUUGCUUGCAAUCCCACAGCUGCAUCUGCAUCCAUCUCAUCGGCGAGCAACUGAAUCUGUAUGCCUGCCUGCCGUGUGCCUUCAAUUGUUAGUAGCCUUUAACAGGAAGGAUGAAAAGGCAACAGAGUUUGACCGCUUUCUUCAGCAAGAAACCAAGAUUGGAACAAUCAGAUACAACAGGAAUGGAUCCAAAACUGUCACAAGCACCACUGCCACCACUUGAACGUGGAGAAAGUCAAUCUCCUCAAUUGAAAGUCUUCCUGAUCUUCUUGAUUGCUGGACAUUGCAACAAUAUAGCAACUUUCAAGAGAAGUAUGAGGAACUGGAAGUUUCCAACAAAAUAUUAGGUUGUAAGUACUGCGCGAAACAUGACUUUGCAGUAGAGAAAGGCAUUCAUGUGUCCAAAGAAUGGAAACAUUUCAAGAUUGAGGCAGCAGGGAAAACUAAAGAAGUACAAUAAGCUUCUCUUAGGAAAAAAAUGAAAGAACAUUUUACAUCAAAAACUCACAUCAUUUGCAGAGAGAACUUAAAACAAGGGCAGCAAGAUGCUAUAACAAAAGCAGUAGAUAAGAUAACUGAAAAAUAUUUAUCUACUACUUGUAGAGUAUUUAUGACAGUUUACAAUCUGGCACAAAGAUGUAAACCAUUUUCAAACAUAGAAGGAGAGGUAGAAUUGCUAACUGUAAUUGGAAUAGAACUGGGAGUAGGAUUGCAUUCACGGUCAACUGCAGUGAAAAUAGUUGAUUUCAUUGCAAAAAAAAAUUAAAACCAAAAUGUUUGCUAGCAUUAUUGAACAGAAUCUGAAAAUAUGUUUGAUUAUUGAUGAAGCCUCAAUGCUAUCAUGCAAACCAGUUGUGAUAGUUUUCGUAAAAGUUGAGUAUUCAGAUAACCCACCAAAAUUUUUUAUUCAGCUUGUUGAAUUGGAAAAACAAGAUGCAGAGACAAUAUAUUCUUCAGUUAUGGAAAGUUUACAUAAUGGGUUUACUAUAGACUAUCUACAAAAAAAUUUAAUAGCAUUUUGCUCUGAUGGUGCCAGCAUUAUGCUUGGGAGAAAAUCUGGAGUGAGCACUAGAAUAGCAAAAGAGUUUCCAAACAUUAUAAUAUGGCACUGCUUAAACCAUUGCCUCCAACUUGUUUUAGAUGACUCCAUAAAGGACAUUAAGUAACUGAGUAACUGGAAGCGUUGCGGUGAGACUGGCUGGAAAAUAGCAGGCUCUGACAAGCCUCAAGAAAAUCCAGCCAGACAAAAUGCUGUCGGGAGGUCUUAAGACAGAAACUGUCCUGUAGGUAUGAUGAGGAAGGAGAGGCGCUUCAGACAACCAAGAGGAACAGACAAGUUCCUUGAAAGGUCGGAGGCAGCUCUUCGAACCACCGGGGG